GAUGAACGCUGGCGGCGUGCCUAAUACAUGCAAGUCGAGCGAACAGACGAGGAGCUUGCUCCUCUGACGUUAGCGGCGGACGGGUGAGUAACACGUGGAUAACCUACCUAUAAGACUGGGAUAACUUCGGGAAACCGGAGCUAAUACCGGAUAAUAUAUUGAACCGCAUGGUUCAAUAGUGAAAGACGGUUUUGCUGUCACUAUAGAUGGAUCCGCGCCGCAUUAGCUAGUUGGUAAGGUAACGGCUUACCAAGGCAACGAUGCGUAGCCGACCUGAGAGGGUGAUCGGCCACACUGGAACUGAGACACGGUCCAGACUCCUACGGGAGGCAGCAGUAGGGAAUCUUCCGCAAUAGGCGGAAGCCUGACGGAGCGACGCCGCGUGAGUGAUGAAGGUCUUCGGAUCGUAAAACUCUGUUAUUAGGGAAGAACAAAUGUGUAAGUAACUAUGCACGUCUUGACGGUACCUAAUCAGAAAGCCACGGCUAACUACGUG
rnacentral:rRNA from 1 species